rnacentral:rRNA from 1 species
GACGAACGCUGGCGGCGUGCCUAAUACAUGCAAGUCGAACGCUUUUUCUUUCACCGGAGCUUGCUCCACCGAAAGAAAAAGAGUGGCGAACGGGUGAGUAACACGUGGGUAACCUGCCCAUCAGAAGGGGAUAACACUUGGAAACAGGUGCUAAUACCGUAUAACACUAUUUUCCGCAUGGAAGAAAGUUGAAAGGCGCUUUUGCGUCACUGAUGGAUGGACCCGCGGUGCAUUAGCUAGUUGGUGAGGUAACGGCUCACCAAGGCAACGAUGCAUGGCCGACCUGAGAGGGUGAUCGGCCACACUGGGACUGAGACACGGCCCAGACUCCUACGGGAGGCAGCAGUAGGGAAUCUUCGGCAAUGGACGAAAGUCUGACCGAGCAACGCCGCGUGAGUGAAGAAGGUUUUCGGAUCGUAAAACUCUGUUGUUAGAGAAGAACAAGGGUGAGAGUAACUGUUCACCCCUUGACGGUAUCUAACCAGAAAGCCACGGCUAACUACGUGCCAGCAGCCGCCGUAA